GACGAACGCUGGCGGCGUGCUUAACACAUGCAAGUCGAACGGAAAGGCCCUGCUUUUUUGGGGUGCUCGAGUGGCGAAAGGGUGAGUAACAAGUGAGUAACCUGCCCUUGACUUUGGGAUAACUUCAGGAAACUGGGGCUAAUAACGGAUAGGAGCUCCUGCUGCAUGGUGGGGGUUGGAGAGUUUCGGCGGUUGGGGAUGGACUCGCGGCGUAUCAGCUUGUUGGUGGGGUAGUGGCUUACCAAGGCUUUGACGGGUAGCCGGCCUGAGAGGGUGACCGGCAACAGUGGGACUGAGAUACGGCCCAGACUUCUACGGUAGGGAGCAGUGGGGAGUAUUGCACAAUGGGCGGAAGCCGGAUGCAGCAACGCCGCGUGCGGGAUGACCGCCUUCGGGUUGUAAACCGCGUUCGCCUGUGACGAAGCGUGAGGGACGGUAACGGGUAAAGAAGCACCGGCUAACUACGUG
rnacentral:rRNA from 1 species